GAGAAAGGAUAGAGGGUUGGCAGAGAAAGAGUAGGUGAGGGAAAGAAUAAAAAAAAAGACAGACAGAAAGACAGGCAGAUGGGCAGGCUGACAGACAGAAACAGAGAAAUAACUUUGACACAGAUACAAGCAGAUGUUCUCAGGAAAGACAGACGUACACACGCAUACUAUAGCAGAGGCUUGGACACACCUACAUAUACGAAGACACACACACAUUAACUGCUAAUGGGACACUUCUCAAGACAUCUAUCCAAUUAUAAACAUAUGUAUAACCAUGUAUAAGUAUAAACUACACCGGCCCCCACGCCAUCUCCUUCGUUAGCUGUCUGGCUAUUGACCCGGCUAUCUGACUGACUCUCUACCCGGCUUGCCUAGCUGCUAUCAAGCUAGUCCUUCUGAGAUGGGACAGCAUCGCUUCCAGUACCUCCACAUGCAUCACCAUCUCAACCAUCGCUUUCAUCAUUAUCAUCAUUAUCAUCAUCGUCGUCAUCAUCAUCAUCAUCAUCGUACGUAGAACACUGUCUUCGUUGAAACAACAACCACCAACACCACCACUGGUUGCAAUCGUUCUUGGGUUACUUUUGGGGCAGCCCUACAUAACUGAGCUUGGAGCAACAUUCAACCUCAUCAAAGCCAAAGCUUCCAGACCAACUGCUGCUACAACUUCAGCUGCUGCUGCUGCUGCUACUGUUACUACUACUACUACUACUACUACUACUACUACUACUACUUCUGCUGCUGCUGCUACUACUACUCUUACUACUACUACUACCAUCAUCAUCAUUGACUUCUUCCCAUCAUUAUACCUCUUAUUUGCUAUAUUACCAUAAAGCAAAAUAUUAUUAUUAGUAUUAUUAUUAUUUUCACCUGUUUUGCAAAGAAAAAGAAAAAGGACGAUGAGAAAUCCUACGGAAGUUAACACAGUCUUUUCAUGAAGUGUUAUCGGAUUCGAACAACAGGAAAUAGUUACCCAACAUCAGACAAUGCUCGACUCAGCCCCUGGGCACCUAUUGACCAGGUUCCACUGGCCUGUUGUUGGUAGUUAUCAGUUGGACUGGUACAAUAGCAGAAAACCACUGUGAAAUAUCCUUCAAGGUUGUUUCUCAUCCAAAACAGCAAUUCUAAAAACAGAAAACAAGGAAGGAAUUUAACAACACAAACAAGAAACACAAAACAGUUAAAUGUAUUAAUAAAAAAGACCUUGAUAAAAAUAAUAAUAAUAAUAGUAAAGACCAAAAUAAGGGAAAUAAUUCUUUUUUCUCUCCCUACUGUUUUAUCAACUGUUGAAGUUUUAAGCUAGCCCUUUCAAAAUGCCAAAUGGACGGAAGGGCGUAACAACUUUUCAGAAACUGGGAACUAUUAUGGGUCCAUGUCUCAUUAUAUUCGGCUUGCCCUUAUUGAUCCCUGGUAUUGCAAUAACUGUUGUCCCUUUCUAUGAUGAGACUGGGUUCCCAAAAUUUGGAGGCUUACACAUUUUUGGCUUUUUUAUCUUGUUCACAGCAGUCUUGCUCACUAUUUCAGGUUGUGCAUUCAGUUGCAUGCGCAAAGCAACAAUAUCGCCUCUAGAACAGGUGCAACUCGUGUCUCCAUGGGGAACACCUCGACAUGGCUCUGUAUUGCAGCAGAAAGAAGAACUGAUGCCAUGCACUGGAGAAAUGUCAUAAAAUUGAGCUCCAAAUCAAACUAAUACAGAUCCUGUAGACCUUAUACAACCUGCCUGCUAAGGGGCAUAAGAAAGCCAUCUUUGUUAUUUAUUCAUUCCUUUGGUGUAUUUUUUUCUUUUCACUUAUUAUUCAAUUUUUUUCAAUAAAUAAAAAUGAACAACA